UGGGGAAUCUUGGACAAUGGGCGCAAGCCUGAUCCAGUCAUGCCGCGUGAGUGAAGAAGGCCUUAGGGUUGUAAAACUCUUCCGCCGGAGAAGAUAAUGACGGUAUCCGGAGAAGAAGCCCCGGCUAACUUCGUGCCAGCAGCCGCGGUAAUACGAAGGGGGCUAGCGUUGUUCGGAUUUACUGGGCGUAAAGCGCACGUAGGCGGAUUGUUAAGUCAGGGGUGAAAUCCUGGAGCUCAACUCCAGAACUGCCUUUGAUACUGGCAAUCUAGAGUCCGGAAGAGGUGAGUGGAACUCCUAGUGUAGAGGUGGAAUUCGUAGAUAUUAGGAAGAACACCAGUGGCGAAGGCGGCUCACUGGUCCGGUACUGACGCUGAGGUGCGAAAGCGUGGGGAGCAAA
rnacentral:rRNA from 1 species